AUACGUAGGUGGCAAGCGUUGUCCGGAAUUACUGGGCGUAAAGGGCGUGUAGGUGGACUGAUCAGUCGGGUGUGAAAUAUCCGGGCUUAACCCGGAGGGUGCAUCCGAUACGGUCAGUCUUGAGUGCAGGAGAGGGCAGUGGAAUUCCCAGUGUAGCGGUGAAAUGCGUAGAGAUCGGGAGGAACACCAGUGGCGAAGGCGACUAACUGGACUAUAACUGACGCUGAGGCGCGAAAGUGUGGGGAGC
rnacentral:rRNA from 1 species